CUAGGUUCUGAUCCUGCAUUCAUAACGACAAUAUACAAUCAAAACGGGUUCGACUCUGGAAUUGGUGUUAGCCGAUGGCAAAAAUCAAAACUUAUAGAGGAAUAAGAAGUGUCAAAGUCUUGUGAUGCUUCACAAGUUCGUAUCAAUCAUCCAUAACCAGAAGCUCAUGCAUUUACUAAAUUGUAAGAGUUAUUACAUUAAUUAGCUUAUAAUGAAAUAAACUUAUAUGAAAGAUUAUAUAACAUUUGCAAUUUUUAUUUGUUUAUGUAUAUUUAUUUCUAUCAUCAAGCAAAAUAGAGGACCCAUUCACAUCCAUACAUAAGCAGAUCCCAAAGCCGUCUUUAUCAAGGAAUGUUUUCUCAGAAUCACAAUAUUAGGGUCUAAUUCUUAUAUGUGGAAAACCAAAUCAAUCUCUCAAGAACAUCAAACCCUAAGUUUUUUUAACCUAUUAUCUAAACAAUUUCGAUUUUUAUGUGUAUGUGAAGCCUCUGAUAAUUGUGAAUGUUUUUAUAUGGAAUUGGUGACCAUUUUUAA